UAUGAAGACAAAAUGGUGUGAAGAAACCCA
rnacentral:piRNA from 1 species